CAGAACCUCUAAGUGGUGAUAUUUCACUCAGGGUUAAACUCAUACCUCCUUAUUCUGGUGUGUGCAUGUGUGUCGGAGGCGUCCCUGUGGUGAGUUUAAAGGGCAGACAGUUAGGAGGAAAUCUGAUCCUGAAGCCAGCAGGGGAGCGGGGAUGUGCCCUGCAAAAAGAAUCAUGCUGUCCCCUACAAAGGAUGAAACUCUACUCUGAGGCAGUUACAGGGGCCCAGAGGAGGUUAAUCGUGCCCAGGAGCUAUGAUGGAUCCCCAAAUCCACAGCAGCAAAAUAAUCUAUUGAUCCCAAUGACAAAUUCAGAAUCAAUGUUCUUAAAUAAACAAUAAAUUAUUGUCAAAUAUCUAAUCAAUCAUAUUAUCAUUAUAAGAGAUUCACUUAUUAAAAACCAAAUGAAGUCAUUCUCAGACAGGGCG